rnacentral:rRNA from 1 species
GAUGAACGCUAGCGGCAGGCUUAAUACAUGCAAGUCGAGGGACAGCACAGGUAGCAAUACUGGGUGGUAACCGGCAAACGGGUGCAAAACACGUACACAACCUUCCUUUAAGUGGGGGAUAGCCCAGAGAAAUUUGGAUUAAUACCCCGUAAUAUAGUUGAAUGGCAUCAUUUGAUUAUUAUAGCUACGGCGCUUAAUGAUGGGUGUGCGGCUGAUUAGAUAGUUGGCGGGGUAACGGCCCACCAAGUCUACGAUCAGUAGCUGAUGUGAGAGCAUGAUCAGCCACACGGGCACUGAGACACGGGCCCGACUCCUACGGGAGGCAGCAGUAAGGAAUAUUGGUCAAUGGACGCAAGUCUGAACCAGCCAUGCCGCGUGAAGGAUUAAGGUCCUCUGGAUUGUAAACUUCUUUUAUUUGGGACGAAAAAGGGUCUUUCUAGACCAACUGACGGUACCAGAUGAAUAAGCACCGGCUAACUCCGUGCCAGCAGCCGCAGUAAGAC